rnacentral:rRNA from 1 species
AUUGAACGCUGGCGGCAGGCCUAACACAUGCAAGUCGAACGAGUGGCGGACGGGUGAGUAAUGUCUGGGAAACUGCCUGAUGGAGGGGGAUAACUACUGGAAACGGUAGCUAAUACCGCAUACCAUCAGAUGUGCCCAGAUGGGAUUAGCUUGUUGGUGGGGUAACGGCUCACCAAGGCGACGAUCCCUAGCUGGUCUGAGAGGAGGACCGGCCAAACUGGAACUGGGACACGGUCCAGACUCCUACGGGAGGCAGCAGUGGGGAAUAUUGGACAAUGGGCGAAAGCCGGAUACAGCCAUGCGGGGUGUAUGAGGAGGGCCUUGGGGUUUUAAAGUACUUUCAGCGGGGAGGCGUUACCCGCAGAAGAAGCACCGGCUAACUCCGUGCCAGCCGCCGCGGUAAUAC